rnacentral:rRNA from 1 species
UACGAAAGGGGCUAGCGUUGUUCGGAAUUACUGGGCGUAAAGCGCACGUAGGCGGAUCGUUAAGUCGGAGGUGAAAUCCCGGGGCUCAACCCCGGAACUGCCUUCGAUACUGGCGGUCUCGAGGACGGUAGAGGCUAGUGGAAUGGCGAGUGUAGAGGUGAAAUUCGUAGAUAUUCGCCGGAACACCAGUGGCGAAGGCGACUGGCUGGACCGUUUCUGGCGCUGAGGUGCGAAAGCGUGGGGAGCAAACAGG